UUCUAAUGAAAGUACCAACGAAUCGUAAUGCGGACUGGUUCUGCUCACCGUUUGUUGUUACUGCGUACGGAUGUCGGAUCCUGUUCAGUGCCUGAGAACUCAGUAAUUAGGUUGGUAAGGCGUCAGUGAGCUGUUUUCCUUCUGCCUCAUUUCAAAUCAAGACUGAAGCUGCAGGCUGAAACUCACCAGACUGAAGACAAGAAGAAAAUCCAUUUAUCACCACUGGUUGGCCUCCCAGUCAUCUCCACCAUGAAGACCCUGAGUUUGUCUUGGUUUGGAUUCACCAUGUUUGACUUUGGUCCAUGCAGCCUAAUAAAACGGCUGUUUGCUCGUCUGAGGGAGAAAUCCCUGUCAGCUGCAGUUCUGGAAAAUCUUUAUUUAUCCUGCAUUUGUUUUGUAUCUGCAUCUCUGCAUUUUAUUGCCAUGACCUUCACUCGACAUUAGUUUUCUAUCCUGGGUUAAAUGUCACAAGCUCUGUCUGCUGGCAGCUCUUGUGCAUUGAGACCGUUUGUGUGCAAACCUCAGUUUUAUGACUCACAAAGCUGCUUUUGACUGUAAACCUCCAGUUUCCUAAACCUGAAUAAUAGAAUUUGUUCUAAAUGAGGCAAAGUGAAUUAAAUAGACAUUUUAAAGCAGGUGCAACAUAAGAAAACUCCAUUAAUUAGUAACAAAAAAUAUGUUUUGAAAAGAAAUCACAUGCAAAGUAUCUUUGAAGGUGUCUCUGGAUUCAUGUAUAAUUGUGGAAAAUAAAGUUGAAAAGUCUCAUAAAAUCUACUGAUUUAACCAAUGUUUGCAUUUAUAGAUUAUUAAAUUGAUUAUUUUCAUAUCUUCAUAUAUUUUCAACCUGU